UGGAGAGGAUGACAAUAAUUAAGACCAACCAGAUCAGGCAGAUGGAGAGGAUGACAAUAAUUAAGACCAACCAGAGCAAGAAGACGGAGAGGAUGACAAUACUGGUGUACUGGUGAUUGUGAAGCGUCAUAAACGCCCAUCAACUCACAUUUGAAACCAAAAUGUGUACAAAAAGGGCUGCCUGGAAGGAAAAGCUUACAAAAACAGAAGAGGAGUUGAAAAACCUGAAAAAAAGACGGGAAAUGCAUGCAAUUCUAACUUCUGUAGAAAAUCCAAAUUGAGAGAUUACCAAUCUUUGGAUGAGGAUAAACGGAGCUGGAUCUUCCAACAUUUUUUUUGACAUGAAAUCAUGGAAUGAACGCCGUUUUACGUCCGAACAUUAGUGUCCAAGGUUGACAUAACACAAAAAAAGAUCCCUGUAGAUCAGUCAAGAAGAAAGUAUUCUUUUUCCUACAAAC